CCCCUGUGCUCUGACUGUGAUAUGAUGAAUUAUAGGACCUUAAAUUCCGUUAGGAAUACUGGAAAGAUAACUGCAAACUCAAUAAAGAUUGUAACAACUAAAGCGAGGCUUAUAUUGGGCUCCCGGGUGACGCAGUGGUUUAAGGCACUGCAUCUCAGUGCUAGAGGCGUCACUACAGACACCCUGGUUCGAGUCCAGGCUGUAUCACAACCGGCUGUGAUUGGGAGUCCUAUAGGGCGGCUCACAAUCUGGGUUAAACUAGGGUUAGGGUCAGGGUUAAACUAGGGUCAGGGUUAGUGUUAGGGUCAGGGUUAAACUAGGGUCAUGGUUAAACUAGGGUCAGGGUUAAACUAGGGUCAGGGUUAAACUAGGGUCAGAGUUAAACUAGGGUCAGGGUUAAACUAGGGUCAGGGUUAGUGUUAGGGUCAGGGUUAGUGUUAGGGUCAGGGUUAGUGUUAGGGUCAGCGUUAAACUAGGGUCAGGGUUCAAACUAGGGUCAGGGUUAUGUUAGGGUCAGCGUUAAACUAGGGUCAGGGUUCAAACUAGGGUCAGGGUUAGUGUUAGGGUCAGGGUUAAACUAGGGUCAGGGUUAAACUAGGGUCAGGGUUAAACUAGGGUCAGGGUUAGUGUUAGGGUCAGAGUUAGUGUUAGGGUCAGGGUUAAACUAGGGUCAGGGUUAGUGUUAGUGUUAGUGUUAGGGUCAGUGUUAGGGUCAAGGUUAAACUAGGGUCAGGGUUAGUGUUAGGGUCAAGGUUCAAACUAGUAGGACAACCAACGCACACAAAAGGGAGGAUGGUAGAGA
rnacentral:lncRNA from 1 species